UGGGAACUUAUGAUGGGUGUCACUUUAUUG
rnacentral:piRNA from 1 species